ACGCUGGAUGAUGCAUCCCCUGUACAAGGAUGGCUCAACGUCAUCCAGCGCGACAACUGAAAACACAGCUGACUAUUGAGCGGAAGGCUGCAAUCCGAAGCGGUGAGAACCGUACGGACUGCGGAUGGUUUACUGUUGCCUUCUUCAGCUGUGCU
ncrna:unclassified sequences DTF2800 RNA